rnacentral:ncRNA from 1 species
UUAACGAGUUUAUAUCCAUCACUUAGUCCGGCUAGGCACGAAAGUCCUAGACCGUAUUCCUCUGAAUUGCUGGGAGUUCACAAAAGUCUGUUGGCUACAACGUAACUGGAAACAGUAAGCGUGAAUGCGACCGAAAGGUAGAAAGAACAACAGACCUGACCUACGCUAACCAAUAACGCUAAGGGUCGUAAACAAGGGACAAUCAGCCGCUAAGACGCUACCGGGUAUUAAACCCUAUGCGUAAAGUUCAACGACUAAGGGAGUUAUGACCCUGUACACCUACCAAGGAAGGGGGUGGAAGUGGAGGAGACCUAAGGGGGAAUAGACCUAUUCCCUACGGUCAAGAUAUAGUCUGGCCCUGUUUAAUAAACAG